GUGAGGAAUUUUCCGCAAUGGGCGAAAGCCUGACGGAGCAAUGCCGCGUGAAGGAUGAAGGCCUAUGGGUUGUAAACUUCUUUUCUCAGAAAAGAAUUAUGACGGUAUCUGAGGAAUAAGCAUCGGCUAACUCUGUGCCAGCAGCCGCGGUAAGACAGAGGAUGCAAGCGUUAUCCGGAAUGAUUGGGCGUAAAGCGUCUGUAGGUUGUUUAAAAAGUAUUCUGUCAAAGAUUAGGGCUUAACCCUAGAUAGGCAGAAUAAACUUUUAAGCUAGAGUUUGGUAGAGGCAGAGGGAAUACCCGGUGGAGCGGUGAAAUGCGUAGAUAUCGGGAGGAACACCAAAGGCGAAGGCACUCUGCUGGGCCAAUACUAACACUGAGAGACGAAAGCGAGGGGAGCAAAUGGGAUUAGAAACCCUGGUAGUCC
rnacentral:rRNA from 1 species